rnacentral:ncRNA from 1 species
GUGCAUGUAUGAGACGGUUAACACUCCCCUUGGCAAGGACAGAAAAGAUAAUUUAAUCUUUCUAACACACAAAGACAUUGCUUUCUACAUUAGAGGAACGUAUUUUUUU